GAAUCAGAAUGUCUUUUGUUUUCUUCUUCCUCAGGGUUAACCAUGUGGGAGAUGGGGGAAGCACAAAGUCUUAAUCACCCUUGUUUCAUUCCAGGUCAGACACCCCAUCAAGAGUUGAGAUAAAUGGCCCAGCGACAGGAAUUGUUUAAGUACGCGAAUGAAUGAGCAAUCACCCAUGAGCAAAGCUGACGACUUAGCAUCUGGAUGCUGCUAUUUCAUGAAGACCACGCUACAUCCUCUGCAGUUCUUAACUGCUUUGCACCUUUUGUUGCAGACCGAUGGUCCUCUACCUUGAAGUCUUAUUGAAAAAAAAAAAAAAAUAAGAGCAAACAUUUGCUUUGAGGUUGUG
rnacentral:lncRNA from 1 species